AUGAGUCAGUAUUGACCUGGACUUGGAGAUUUCUCCUGUUCUCAAAUGGCCUUAACUCUGUAUUGACAGUUAGCUGGGAGCUCACUGGGGACUUGAUGAUCCAAGAUGGUCUUUCAGGAGAAGGAGAACAACGUCUCUGAAGGCCUAGCCCAGAAUUUCCAGAUUAUUUUUGCUGCAUUGCUCAGCCUCCCGGCUGCUUAGAUACAAGGAGGCGGAAGCCUGAAUUCCACCUUUUGAUAGGAAGAAAAACCAGAAGAACAACAAUGUCCCAAGCUAAGUCUGCUUCUCUGGCCUUCUUCAUUUGUAAAUAAAGGCCAACUACCGCAGCGGCACAAGUUAAAUGGUUUAUUUCCUGGAGAAUCAAGAGGAUCCACACAGAGUGUGGAAACCAACAAAGGCCAGGCCAGAAAUACCUUAAUGACAGGUAUAAGGAAAAGCCCUACCCAAGUAGGGAAGGUUAACAAGUGGGUGAGUUUGAAUGGAUGAAAGCUAUGGGUCAGCAACAGUCAAUCUGACCAAAGACAGGCAGGCUCAGCUGAACUCGUGGCUGCCUGCUAUCCAAAAUUCCUAACAGAAGACACGGUGACUCUAAUUCUGAAACUUCAUGCAAGUUUUUUUUUCUCAAAGGACUGAGAGCAAAUUAAGGACAAUGGGUGACUCUGGGAGGAGCUGGGGAGGGGAGGUGUAAUCAAAACACAGUGUGUGAAAUUCUCAAAGAAUGGAUAAAAAGGGUUGAGGUGGGGCUUUUUGUUUCGUUGGAUUCUUUCUGUUCUUACUUUUGGGUGUUUUUUGUUUGUUUGUUUUUGUUGUUGUUUUUGUUUUGUUAUGUUUCUGUUUUGGUUGCAAAGAAAGCAGGAUCUCUUUUUCUUCUACAAAAAGCCCCAAAGGUCUUUUAAGGAGGGAGAAAAGCUCUCCUCUAGCAGAGCAAAAAUGCCCAAAGAAAAGAAGGUCAAGGGAAGGAAGUGGCCCUGGCCCUCAGCGUUGUGAAGAAGCGGGAAGCCAAAAGGUGGCGAGUCCUCUCUGAGGAAAGGAUUGAGAACUUCUGCAUUGGACGGGGCAUCCAGCUCAAAACAGACCUCACUUGCCUUAUCAGACAGCCCGGCUACUCAGGCUGCAUCAUCACCAAGGGCCACCCUCUAUAAGUGUCUCAAACUACCUCCUGCCAUUAAUCAGUUCACUUAGGCCCUGGACCAGCAAUCAGCUACCCAGCUGUUUAACCUUGCCCAUGAGGAGAGGCCAGAGACAAAGCAGGAGAAGCAGAGGUGGUUGGCGAUGGGGACAUCCCAACCAAGAGACCACCUGCCCUUCGAGCAGGACAGUCACCACCUUGGUGAAGAUCAAGAAGGCGCACCUCUUGGUGCUUGCCCGCGACAUAGACCCCACUGAGCAGUUGAUCUUCCUGCUUGCUCUGUGUCUCAAGAUGGCGGUACUCCGCUGCAUCAUUAAGAGGAAGGCCAGGCUGGGGUGGCUGGUGCCUAGGAAAGCAUGCACCACUGUGGCCUUCACACAGGUUGACUCAUAAGACAAGGGAGUUCUCUGGCUAAACAUAUGGAAGCUAUCUGGACCAAUAACAAUGACAGAUACCAGGAGAUCUGCUGCCACUGGUGGUGGUGGUGGAGGAUGGGUAAUGUCCUGAGUCCUAAAUCUGUGGCUCAAACUGCGAAGCAGGAAUAAAGCAGAGGUCAAAGAAGACACU